rnacentral:rRNA from 1 species
CCCUACGGGGGGCAGCAGUGGGGAAUAUUGCACAAUGGGGGAAACCCUGAUGCAGCGACGCCGCGUGAGUGAAGAAGUAUUUCGGUAUGUAAAGCUCUAUCAGCAGGGAAGAAAAAAGACGGUACCUGACUAAGAAGCCCCGGCUAACUACGUGCCAGCAGCCGCGGUAAUACGUAGGGGGCAAGCGUUAUCCGGAUUUACUGGGUGUAAAGGGAGCGUAGACGGUAUGGCGAGUCUGAAGUGAAAGCCCAGGGCUUAACCCUGGGCCUGCUUUGG